rnacentral:rRNA from 1 species
AACGGAGGUCACUCCCAAACCCCUGUGAC